rnacentral:rRNA from 1 species
ACGUAGGGUGCAAGCGUUAAUCGGAAUUACUGGGCGUAAAGCGCACGUAGGCGGAUUUGUAAGUCAGGGGUGAAAUCCCGGGGCUCAACCUCGGAACUGCCUUUGAUACUGCAAAUCUCGAGUCCGAGAGAGGUGAGUGGAAUUCCUAGUGUAGAGGUGAAAUACGUAGAUAUUAGGAAGAACACCAGUGGCGAAGGCGGCUCACUGGCUCGGUACUGACGCUGAGGCGCGAAAGCGUGGGGAGCAAACAGGA